CAGCAGCCGCGGUAACACGUAGGGUGCGAGCGUUAAUCGGAAUUACUGGGCGUAAAGCGUGCGCAGGCGGUUGUGUAAGACAGGUGUGAAAUCCCCGGGCUUAACCCGGGAACUGCGCUUGUGACUGCACAGCUAGAGUAUGGCAGAGGGGGGUGGAAUUCCACGUGUAGCAGUGAAAUGCGUAGAGAUGUGGAGGAACACCGAUGGCGAAGGCAGCCCCCUGGGCCAAUACUGACGCUCAUGCACGAAAGCGUGGGGAGCAAACAGGAUUAGAUACCCGCGUAGUCCCUGUCUCUUAUAC
rnacentral:rRNA from 1 species